rnacentral:lncRNA from 1 species
GAGCUAUUGAGAGCAGGGUCUCUGCCAUAUGACUAAGCUACCAAUGUUCCAUGUGUUUUCCUCUCAUGUGUGAUUGUUAUGCAUGCUCACUCUUCCAAUUUCUCUACUGAUUGCUCAGCACUCAAUCGACUGUGAGAGCAGCUCUCUGUACAUUGAAAAGCACCAAAGCUUAGUGGGAAGUUCAUGAAGAUAAUACAAAGCCUGAAAGGGUAGCCAUCAUCUGCCAAUAUGAGUACAAGUUGGGGGAAUAAGCCUCCAAGGUAUAUUACACUGGUUUUAAGAAAACUGUACAUCCAUGGAAAUUUGGAGGAAAACACUUGACUAAUUCAGGAAAAUUCACAAAAUAAUGUUUACAUAUGUUAUUUCAUUUUGUAUUUUUGUAUUAUUUUAUAUUUU